rnacentral:rRNA from 1 species
UUUUAUGGAGAGUUUGAUCCUGGCUCAGAGUGAACGCUGGCGGCGUGCCUAAUACAUGCAAGUCGAACGAUGAAGCUUCUAGCUUGCUAGAAGUGGAUUAGUGGCGCACGGGUGAGUAACGCAUAGGUCAUGUGCCUCUUAGUUUGGGAUAGCCAUUGGAAACGAUGAUUAAUACCAGAUACUCCCUACGGGGGAAAGAUUUAUCGCUAAGAGAUCAGCCUAUGUCCUAUCAGCUUGUUGGUAAGGUAAUGGCUUACCAAGGCUAUGACGGGUAUCCGGCCUGAGAGGGUGAACGGACACACUGGAACUGAGACACGGUCCAGACUCCUACGGGAGGCAGCAGUAGGGAAUAUUGCUCAAUGGGGGAAACCCUGAAGCAGCAACGCCGCGUGGAGGAUGAAGGUUUUAGGAUUGUAAACUCCUUUUGUUAGAGAAGAUAAUGACGGUAUCUAACGAAUAAGCACCGGCUAACUCCGUGCCAGCAGCCGCGGUAAUACGGAGGGUGCAAGCGUUACUCGGAAUCACUGGGCGUAAAGAGCGCGUAGGCGGGAUAGUCAGUCAGGUGUGAAAUCCUAUGGCUUAACCAUAGAACUGCAUUUGAAACUACUAUUCUAGAGUGUGGGAGAGGUAGGUGGAAUUCUUGGUGUAGGGGUAAAAUCCGUAGAGAUCAAGAGGAAUACUCAUUGCGAAGGCGACCUGCUGGAACAUUACUGACGCUGAUUGCGCGAAAGCGUGGGGAGCAAACAGGAUUAGAUACCCUGGUAGUCCACGCCCUAAACGAUGGAUGCUAGUUGUUGGAGGGCUUAGUCUCUCCAGUAAUGCAGCUAACGCAUUAAGCAUCCCGCCUGGGGAGUACGGUCGCAAGAUUAAAACUCAAAGGAAUAGACGGGGACCCGCACAAGCGGUGGAGCAUGUGGUUUAAUUCGAGGAUACACGAAGAACCUUACCUAGGCUUGACAUUGAGAGAAUCCGCUAGAAAUAGUGGAGUGUCUAGCUUGCUAGACCUUGAAAACAGGUGCUGCACGGCUGUCGUCAGCUCGUGUCGUGAGAUGUUGGGUUAAGUCCCGCAACGAGCGCAACCCCCUUUCUUAGUUGCUAACAGGUCAUGCUGAGAACUCUAAGGAUACUGCCUCCGUAAGGAGGAGGAAGGUGGGGACGACGUCAAGUCAUCAUGGCCCUUACGCCUAGGGCUACACACGUGCUACAAUGGGGUGCACAAAGAGAAGCAAUACUGCGAAGUGGAGCCAAUCUUCAAAACGCCUCUCAGUUCGGAUUGUAGGCUGCAACUCGCCUGCAUGAAGCUGGAAUCGCUAGUAAUCGCAAAUCAGCCAUGUUGCGGUGAAUACGUUCCCGGGUCUUGUACUCACCGCCCGUCACACCAUGGGAGUUGUGUUUGCCUUAAGUCAGGAUGCUAAAUUGGCUACUGCCCACGGCACACACAGCGACUGGGGUGAAGUCGUAACAAGGUAACCGUAGGUGAACCUGCGGUUGGAUCACCUCCUUUCUAGA